rnacentral:lncRNA from 1 species
ACAUUGUUGACUUUCUGGGAGCUGGUUGAUCCUGUCAUGAAGAAGCAAGAGAGGGUUGAUCUGCAAAGGAUGGGAGCAAGGAGUCAGACUGGCAAAGCAGUGCCUUCACCAACGCAGAUUCAAGCCCAGAGUGCUCCAACCAGAAUGGACCAGGUCCAGAGAGCAUAACCAGGGCAGUCAGGAUCCCAGAAAAUAAACUAUGGAAAGAACUACACAGGUAACCCAAAUGGAAAACAUCAACCCUUUUGGUGAGUGGAUGUGGAGAGAUCUCACUUUUGUUUUUUUGUUUGGAAGAACUCCUGCAUAUCUUUUCUCUCUGUGCCUUUUUUCCUUUAACACUAUAAAAAGAAUUUUUUACCUCACAUCUGUUCUUCUGCUACCAAAUUCCCUUAAAUCUAUUAAACUGCUAGACUGUACUGAUUCUAGAAGGUAGCCUUGUAGUUACUCUUUUGUUUGUUAUGAAAUUGCUCUUUUCUUAUUAUUUUUCCAGCAGAAGCUAAAUCAACAAUUUAUUUUGUGUCUUUGUAUCCAUUAUUUUGUAUGAAUUCACACAAAGACGGAUUAGUACCCUUGCUAUGGACAACCCAAAUAAAACCUCAAUUAUUUGGAAAUUGAAUUUCA